UCACAGUAAUCAGCUCAAGGUUUAGCCAAUGGCUCGCCGGCGGCGAGGAGGCUCCCCUGGUCGCUUCGCUGCACUAGUAUUUUGCUGCCGGAGUGGCCGGACUUUGCCCCCACAAUUUCUUAAAUCCAAUCCUCAGCUGGCGGAAACUUGCCGACUUUCCUCCUGCUGGGGCAACCUUGUUCAUCGAUUCAGCUGUAAAGAUUCAUUCUUUGCGUGGUUAAUGAAUAGCUUUCGAUUGAACAGCAGGUGUUAAAAUAAAAUGUCUCAACCAUCACUUCAGUUGUAUGUUAUAUUAUAGGCUCUUGGUGAGUUUGCUUUGAUCUGCAGAUUGUUCAUGGAAAUGAAAGAACAACACUGUUACUGGAUUCUGGUGAUCCUAAGAAGGUGAAGAAACCAGCUUUUUGGUUUGUUUGUUGAUUAUGGUGAUUGAAUUGAAACACCUGGUCAAGUGUGAAACUGAAAUUCAUGGCAAAAGCAGUCACAUUGGCCAUGGAAUCAAAAUAUCUGAUCCUUUGUCUGGAUUGUGCAGAAACCAGGAUCAUGGAAUGGAAGCUGUCAAGUUGAUCAUCAUCCCCAGUAAUGACAUAUGGGAGAAGAUGAAACUAAGACUGCAAAUGCUUGAACUGCAAUUGAUUGCUAGCUGCGAACAUAGCUUAUUAGUAAUAACCACUUAUAGACUAGUUCCUCUGUAUCUUUAAACUGUCUGGUGAAUGCUGAGCUUUAAACCUAUGGCGGGGUCCCCUUCUUGCUGAUGCUUAGUUGAACGAUGGCUGGGGAUUCACCAUAACCGAUUGUGAAUGGAAUUCCCAAAUUUUAUGUUUACAGCUUUAGUUUGAUCCUUUGUCUAGGUUGUGCAGAAACCAGGAUCAUGGAAUGGAAGAAACGAAACUCAGAAGGCCAAUGCUUGAACUGCAAUUGACUUCUAGCUCAUAAACAUACCUUAUUAGUAACAACCAAUUAUAGUUCCUCUGUAUCUUUAAACUGUCUGGUGUAGAUGCAGAGCUUUAAACCAAUGGCGGGUUCCCCUGCCGAUGCUUAGUUGAGCGAUCGCUGUGGAAUCGGCAAUAACACCAAACCGGUUUAUAAAGUUGUGACCUCGAAUCUCCUAGUUUGAUUAUUACUUGAUUGACCUCGAAUCGGCAAUACCACUUUCAUGGCGUUUGUAGAAGCUUCAUUGACGUGAUUGAUUGAUGCUCUUGGUGUAGCAGUGUCUGUGAAGACUGUGCCAACAGCUUAAUCGCCCGUUUCCGUAUUACUAAAGCUCGAUAGCCAUAACAAGUUCAGCUCCAUGACUAUUAACAAAUAGUUAAGCUCCGCUCGUGAGUAGCC
rnacentral:lncRNA from 1 species